GAUUUCUCGGAAGCAACUUACCACAUCGCUGAUCCAGAACACCUGGUACCUUUCCAACGGUCUUAAAUCACCUUUGCACAAUUUGAUCGAGGUUACGUCCAUUUGUACCAUCGCACUGCGUGAAGUUGGUACAAGCGGCUGCAGCAACUGGGACAGUAGUACCGUGCUGGAAGGAUACAGAGUGGAAUGGUAGGUGCUGGGAUGCUGCACGUCUUGUUGAACCACGUUACGAACACUGGAUACAGGGAAUCAGUGAAGAGACUGAAUGGCGGAAGAAGAGAACGGAAAGAGAGAGAGAGAAGGAGAAGAGGGCUAAUACCGUGCCAUGUAUGUAGGAAAAGGAACUAGGCAGAUAUAUAGCCUCAGAAUUGGUUAAGAAUCGAUCGAUUGGAUAAGAUUGCGAAGAAUCCUCCGAGUACAAGAAUGGUGUUAUUUACGAGGAAUCUCCUGGGACACCUUCGAUUGCAACACGUCACGGAUUAACUGCUCUCAAAUCUUUCGGACCCUCUUUUUGGCCCCCUGGCCUCACGGUCCUCGUUAUCAGCCGAAAAUUCCUGAUCGUCCCUUAGGUCUUUGGAUACGUGCGCUUCAUCAUGUUUUCAUAGCGGAUAUCAUUGGAUCUAAUAAAGCUUAGUUGAGUAAAUUGAUUAGGUAAAUAAAUAACGAGAAUGCAAUUUCA